GAAGCAGAUCGAGAGCUAACGAUA
rnacentral:siRNA from 1 species